CCUACGGGAGGCAGCAGUGAGGAAUAUUGGUCAAUGGGCGAGAGCCUGAACCAGCCAAGUCGCGUGAGGGAGUACUGCCCUAUGGGUUGUAAACCUCUUUUGUCGGGGAGCAAAAGCCGGACGUGUCCGGCUGUGAGAGUACCCGAAGAAAAAGCAUCGGCUAACUCCGUGCCAGCAGCCGCGGUAAUACGGAGGAUGCGAGCGUUAUCCGGAUUUAUUGGGUUGAAAGGGUGCGCAGGCGGAUUUUUAAGUCAGCGGUAAAAUCGUGGGGCUCAACCCCAUCCAGCCGUUGAACCUGGGGAUCUAGAGUGUGCGAGAGGUAUGCGGAAUGCGUGGUGUAGCGGUGAAAUGCAUAGAUAUCACGCAGAACCCCGAUUGCGAAGGCAGCAUACCGGUGCACAACUGACGCUCAGGCACGAAAGCGUGGGUAUCGAACAGGAUUAGAUACCCGGGUAGUC
rnacentral:rRNA from 1 species